GACGAACGCUGGCGGCGUGCUUAACACAUGCAAGUCGAACGGAAAGGCCCUGCUUUUGUGGGGUGCUCGAGUGGCGAACGGGUGAGUAACACGUGAGUAACCUGCCCUUGACCUUGGGAUAACUUCAGGAAACUGGGGCUAAUACCGGAUAGGAGCUCCUGCUGCAUGGUGGGGGUUGGAAAGUUUCGGCGGUUGGGGAUGGACUCGCGGCUUAUCAGCUUGUUGGUGGGGUAGUGGCUUACCAAGGCUUUGACGGGUAGCCGGCCUGAGAGGGUGACCGGCCACAUUGGGACUGAGAUACGGCCUAGACUCCUACGGGAGGCAGCAGUGGGGAAUAUUGCACAAUGGGCGGAAGCCUGAUGCAGCAACGCCGCGUGCGGGAUGACGGCCUUCGGGUUGUAAACCGCUUUCGCCUGUGACGAAGCGUGAGUGACGGUAAUGGGUAAAGAAGCACCGGCUAACUACGUG
rnacentral:rRNA from 1 species